rnacentral:rRNA from 1 species
UGGGGAAUAUUGCGCAAUGGGGGGAACCCUGACGCAGCCAUGCCGCGUGAAUGAAGAAGGCCUUAGGGUUGUAAAGUUCUUUCGGUAUUGAGGAAGGUUGAUGUGUUAAUAGCACAUCAAAUUGACGUUAAAUACAGAAGAAGCACCGGCUAACUCCGUGCCAGCAGCCGCGGUAAUACGGAGGGUGCGAGCGUUAAUCGGAAUAACUGGGCGUAAAGGGCACGCAGGCGGUUAUUUAAGUGAGGUGUGAAAGCCCCGGGCUUAACCUGGGAAUUGCAUUUCAGACUGGGUAACUAGAGUACUUUAGGGAGGGGUAGAAUUCCACGUGUAGCGGUGAAAUGCGUAGAGAUGUGGAGGAAUACCGAAGGCGAAGGCAGCCCCUUGGGAAUGUACCGACGCUCAUGUGCGAAAGCGUGGGGAGCAAACAGGAUUAGAUACCCUGGUAGUCCACGCUGUAAACGCUGUCGAUUUGGGGGUUGGGGUUUAACUCUGGCGCCCGUAGCUAACGUGAUAAAUCGACCGCCUGGGGAGUACGGCCGCAAGGUUA